rnacentral:rRNA from 1 species
UACGGAGGUGCAAGCGUUGUCCGGAAUCACUGGGCGUAAAGGGCGCGUAGGCGGCUCAUGAAGGCUGUGGUGAAAGUCCGGGGCUCAACCUCGGAUCGGCCGUGGCGACUCGUGGGCUGGAGCACUGUAGAGGCGGGUGGAAUUCCGGGUGUAGCGGUGGAAUGCGUAGAGAUCCGGAAGAACACCAGUGGCGAAGGCGGCCCGCUGGGCAGUGGCUGACGCUGAGGCGCGGACAGCGUGGGGAGCAAACGAGG